GUAGCUCAGUGGUAGAGCACUUGCCUUGCACGCAUGAGGCCCUGGGUUUGAGGAUUCGAUUGCUCAGC
rnacentral:tRNA from 1 species